rnacentral:piRNA from 1 species
UGGAAAAGAGUUGAAGGCAUCCUUGAUA